AAAGCUGGUACACGUGGGGGCUGACUGACUCUGAGGAAGCCGUGACCACAUCACCUCUGCUCUAGACACAACACACACGCAACUGAGGCUCAGAAAGGGCGAGCCAUGAGCUGAAGGUCACAAAGCAGGAAGAGGCAGGCUAGAUUGGAACUGGGGCUUUGGCUUGGGUUUGGCUAAGUCACUCUUUUAGGAGGAGGAAGCACAUGUUUUUAUGACUAGAGCCUCCGGAGCCACAGCUUCCCGACCUACGUCGAGCUUCCAUCUCUUUUCUGUAUAUAAAUCGCUUCCCCAACCCCAUGCCAAAGAGAACUCCAAAUAACAACACAAGCUUAGCUUUUGCUUUAGAAGUUUCUAGAAUUUAGUUGAUGCUAUUGGAGCUAUCAUGAACUGAUACAGUCCCCGUGGGGAGUGACUAUAUGAGUUCGAACUGGACUUGGACAUUUCUCCAGCCCUCUGUGGUUCCAGUUGAGAAUUCAAAAUCUUUCAGAGCGACUCAUGCUGCCAGAGGGUGGAGGAGUGGACCUUGAAAUGACAAGUGACAGUUCCUCAGCAGUAGCAUCUCCUGCUUUCUCAGCCUGGUGACCUGACCCGGCAGCACGCCCGCUAGGCACCUGUGCCCACCUGGGGACGGGGUCUCAUCCUGCCUGUGUGACCCUUCCUCCUGACAGCCGUCUCUAGAGACAGCCAGUGAGCACAGGGCAACAGGCAGUGCAUGUUCUUUCCACAUCUCCGUGACUGAUUCUGGCCAGGAGGAGGCCGGCUUUCCGGAU
rnacentral:lncRNA from 1 species